UACGGAGGGUGCAAGCGUUAUCCGGAUUCACUGGGUUUAAAGGGUGCGUAGGUGGGUUGGUAAGUCCGUGGUGAAAUCUCCGAGCUUAACUCGGAAACUGCCGUGGAUACUAUCAAUCUUGAAUAUCGUGGAGGUAAGCGGAAUAUGUCAUGUAGCGGUGAAAUGCUUAGAUAUGACAUAGAACACCGAUAGCGGAGGCAGCUUGCUACACGAUCAUUGACACUGAGGCACGAAAGCGUGGGGAGCAAACAGGAUUAGAAACCCUCGUAGUCC
rnacentral:rRNA from 1 species